rnacentral:rRNA from 1 species
UGGGGAAUUUUGGACAAUGGGCGCAAGCCUGAUCCAGCCAUGCCGCGUGCGGGAAGAAGGCCUUCGGGUUGUAAACCGCUUUUGUCAGGGAAGAAAUCUUCUGAGUUAAUACCUCGGGAGGAUGACGGUACCUGAAGAAUAAGCACCGGCUAACUACGUGCCAGCAGCCGCGGUAAUACGUAGGGUGCAAGCGUUAAUCGGAAUUACUGGGCGUAAAGCGUGCGCAGGCGGUUUUGUAAGACAGAGGUGAAAUCCCCGGGCUCAACCUGGGAACUGCCUUUGUGACUGCAAGGCUUGAGUGCGGCAGAGGGGGAUGGAAUUCCGCGUGUAGCAGUGAAAUGCGUAGAUAUGCGGAGGAAACACCGAUGGCGAAGGCAAUCCCCUGGGCCUGCACUGACGCUCAUGCACGAAAGCGUGGGGAGCAAACAGGAUUAGAUAGCCCUGGUAGUCCACGCCCUAAACGAUGUCAACUGGUUGUUGGGAAGGUUCCUUCUCAGUAACGUAGCUAACGCGUGAAGUUGACCGCCUGGGGAGUACGGCCGCAAGGUUG